rnacentral:lncRNA from 1 species
AGGGGUAGGGAAUUCAAAUUCAAAUUUGAAUUUAAGAUUUAUUGGGUUUACACUUAUGUCUAUGUGUGGUGUAUGAAAAAUUGGAGAGAGGAUGGGUUUCGUCGCAAAUUGGUGACUAUAUCAGGCGAAACAAAUUGUGAGUUUGAUGUACCGGUCGUGCUGAACGCGCUGGCGCAGUCCGUUCGAAAAUCCAAUGGACGGAUCUCCUAAUAUCGCGCGUUGAUCGAAGAGGGGUCAUUAGUAG